UGGGGAAUAUUGCACAAUGGGCGAAAGCCUGAUGCAGCGACGCCGCGUGAGGGAUGACGGCCUUCGGGUUGUAAACCUCUUUCAGCAGGGACGAAGCGCAAGUGACGGUACCUGCAGAAGAAGCACCGGCUAACUACGUGCCAGCAGCCGCGGUAAUACGUAGGGUGCAAGCGUUGUCCGGAAAUACUGGGCGUAAAGAGUUCGUAGGCGGUUUGUCGCGUCGUUUGUGAAAACCAGCAGCUCAACUGCUGGCUUGUAGGCGAUACGGGCAGACUUGAGUGCUGCAGGGGGGAGUGGAAUUCCUGGUGUAGCGGUGAAAUGCGCAGAUAUCAGGAGGAACACCGGUGGCGAAGGCGGGUCUCUGGGCAGUAACUGACGCUGAGGAACGAAAGCGUGGGUAGCGAACAGG
rnacentral:rRNA from 1 species